GAGGGAACUGGGCUUGUUUAGCUUGGAGAAGAGAAGGCUGUGGGGAGACCUCAUUGUGGCCUUCCAGUACUUGAAGGGAGCGUAUAAACAGGAGGGGGAACGGCUGUUUACGAGGGUGGAUAGUGAUAGGACAAGGGGGAAUGCUUUUAAACUGAGACAGGGGAGGUUUAGGUUGGAUAUUAGGAGGAGGUUUUUCACCCAGAGGGUGGUGACGCACUGAACAGGUUGCCCAAGGAGGCUGUGGAUGCCCCAUCCCUGCAGGCAUUCAAGGCCAGGCUGGAUGUGGCUCUGGGCAGCCUGGGCUGCUGGUUGGUGACCCUGCACAUAGCAGAGGGUUGGAACGAGAUGAGCAUUGUGGUCCUUUUCAACCCAAGCCAUUCUAGGAUUCUAGGAUUCUCCUGUCUCUCAGGAGAAUCAGACAUUAACUGCUAUCACAUAUCCUGAAAAAUGUUCCUUGUUCUAAUUAAGCAAUAACUAAUGCCCCCACAGUGGAUUCCGAAGUUCUCAGUUCCAUACAAGAAAUAUCCGGUCUGUUUUCCUCUUUUCCAUUUCAAUUUGAAAAGCUAAUAUUCCCAUUUGAUGUCCUAUGUUCACAGUACUCAUCCACUACCAUUACAGCAGUCUUGCUAAACCAACCAACGAAAAAAUAAAAAACAUCUUUCCCUCUCCCUCAUUUACUUUCUCAGUUUUCUCCCUUGUUAUCAUCGCCCUGCCCUGACUCAGGUAAGAGCACUCUUAGUGGAGGUAUUGCAAACGCAGGUGACAUCCACCUCUGCGUUGCAGACACCUUGCUGCAUUAUGCUGUGCUGCUUGCUCAGAG
ensembl:lncRNA